AUGUUUCAUCCAGUUCAGGACGUUUAUUUAUUUCCAACUUGCAUACAAAACAUACUGAGAAACUAAAACCAUCGUUAAAAGUGAAGACACGUUGAGACAGGUAUCUCGACCUGCCAAGUAUACAGCUAAAGCUGAGUUCAUAAAAAGGGAUGAUUUGGCCGACGGUCAUCUGCCAGAUUCUGAUGAUGAUUCAGAAGUCAGUGUGGAAGAAGAUCAGAGGGAGAGGCAGGCGCUCUUUGACUUAUCAAGCUGCUCCCUGAGGCCCAAAAGCUUCAAGUGUCAGACUUGUAAAAAGUCAUAUAUAGGGAAGUGGGGACUGGCCCAGCAUUUUAAACUUAAUCCAGGCCAUGGCCAGCUGGACCCUGAGAUGGUGCUAUCUGAGAAAGCCAAUGGGAGCACCCUCCGGGGGUGCACAGAGGAAAGGACGCUCAGCCUGACCUUCCCGAGGCUGUCCGUGCCAGCGGCUCCGCGUGAGGGAGGGGCCCGCUCCUGCUUGUGUCUUCUGUGGCUUCAGCGUCACCUAGUGCAGGCUGCCAUUCAACAAACGCAUUGUCAACAGUCAACCAAAAGAAACCCAUUGGCCACCAUACCCUGAGGACUAACCCUGACACAGAUGCCCUUCCAGAUGCCCUCAGUAGUCUAACUGAUUCCAUCGCCCCAGCCUUGGGGGAGAAGCACUGCUGCCUAUGCACUCCAUUUACAGGUGAACUGUCACCCCUACAACUCAGCUUGCAACCAGCCCUGGCCACCACCAGUUUCCCCACACUGAGCUGAAUAUUGGACAUGCCCAUCUUAGACAUUCCAGCCCAUUCUGAAAUUCCACAUCGAUUCACCCGACAAAGUCUGAAGUUCCAGGGCAAUUUAUCUGGAAAAGCUCACCUGGAAUCAUGUGUCAUUUCAACCAACAACUGUUGAAGAGGACGUGGCAUCAAAACCAAGGUCUGUUUUAACAAAGUUCCAUAAAUUGAGACACUGAAUGAGUCUCAAUAAAUGUGCAUUCUCACAUUUCUAGAGACCAGAAGUCUGAAAUCAAGGUGCGGUCCGAGCCACACUCCCUCUGAAGGCUCAGCCUGGCCAACAUGGUGAAACCCCAUCUCUACUAAACAUACAAAAUUUAUCUGGGCAUGGUGGUGCGCACCUGUAGUCCAAGCUACUUGGGAGACUGAGACAGGAGAAUCACUUGAACCCAGGAGGCAGAGGUUGCAGGGAACAGAUAUCGUGCCACUGCACUCCAGCCUGGAUGACUGAGCAAGACUCCAUCUCAAAAACAAAAACAAA
rnacentral:lncRNA from 1 species